UGGCUUGGCUUUUCUCUUUAAGGAAGUCUAGGAAAGGUGCCCUGGACCAGGGGCCAUUUUACAAUAACCUGGGGGCACCUGCCAGCUACCCAGAUCACUCCCGCUCUCCAACCUGCACACAGACACCACUUGACCUUUCCAAUGUGGAAUUCCUUCCAAGUUAUGGAGAAUUCUCAUGGCCUGUACCAGUGUCAGGAAUCCCUCAGACACUUGGAGAUGGACCUGCAGGAGGGUUCCAGAGAGAAGAGAUAUUCAGGAGUACAGCAGAGAUCCCACACGUAAUGACUGGCCCUGUUCUACCUCCGUGGAAGUGUACAGGCUGGUGCCUCUCACUGCCCUCUGGUGUGGACAGUCUGCUUGUCCACUCUGUCUUCUGAGUAACAAAUCUGAACAUGAU
rnacentral:lncRNA from 1 species